UGAGCCACGGCGCCGGCCUAUCAUUAACUUCUUUUAACACAUAACAUUGUUGUCUAUUAACAGAGAUACAUUUACUUCUUUCAAUUCCAGUGCCUUUCUAUUCCCAAUUGCUAGGACUAGUAUUUCUAGUAUUAUGUUAAGUAGAAGUGAUAAAAUUGUUCUUGUUCCAGAACUUAGCCAAAAAUAUUCCAUGGUCUCUCCAUUGAAUAUAAUGUUAGCUGUAGGGAUUUUUAUGUUUAUGAAGAUUACUUCUGUUUCUAACUACUGAGUCCUUUCUUCAUAAUAUAUAAUUAGAUACUCUGAAAUGUUUUUCCUGCGUCAAUGGAGAUAUUCACAUUUUUCCUUCAUUCUGUACAUGUGAUAUAUUGAUCGGAGUUUUUUUGAAUCAAUUUAGAAUUCAAUGGAAAAUACAUUAGAGCACAGUGUAUGUUAGGCUGUAACUCAUGCUUUCUUCAUAACCUAAAUAAUUCUUCACACCCAUUAUCUUUCAGGAUCUCAGAAGCUCAGUGCUUAAAAUGUGCUCAUUUCUUCAGAAAGAACUGAGUGAAGAAGAUGUGGAUGCUGUUGUGAAUCAGGCUACAUUUGAGAACAUGAAGUCUCUUCCACAAGCAAACUAUACUAAUAUUAUAAAAAGUCAGGGUGCGAUGAGACAUCAGGACGGACAUUUCAUGCGCAAAGGUACAAUUGGAGAUUGGAAACAUCAUUUGACUGUGGAGCAGAGUGAAAGAUUUGACAGGAUAUUCCAGAGAAAGAUGAAAGGUGUUCCCUUGGAAUUCAUCUGGGAUUAAAUGAAUAGAACUGUAAUCACAUUGAAAAUUAGUCUAACUUGUCACUUUCAUUCAAUUAUUAAUUAUGCCAAUGUAUUAAUAAAUAUAAUGAAUAAAAAAUUCUUAGUAGUAGUAGUUGUCAUGAGUUCCACGGGAAAAUAAUUGAAAAAAAAUUGACUCAUAUUCAACUACUGAAACUGAGAAUUUAAAUUCAGAAUAAAUCAGUCAUGGAAAUUUUCAAAAUUAAUUUAAAUUGAUUUCAGAGAUAGCAUUAUCACUCUGCAUAAUGGUAAAACAAAAUCAUAACAUUGUCAUUCUGUAUAAUAAUGCAGUAAGUGCAAAUCAUAAUUCAAUAAUUGUAAAUGUAUGCAGAAAGUGUUCUGUGAUGCAUAUUUUUCUUUUUUAUCUAUAUUAAAGUAAGAAUCAAUAAAACAUAAAAAUUCCUUUA